UACGGGGGGGGCAGGCGUUGUUCGGAAUUACUGGGCGUAAAGGGCUCGUAGGUGGCCAACUAAGUCAGACGUGAAAUCCCUCGGCUUAACCGGGGAACUGCGUCUGAUACUGGAUGGCUUGAGUUUGGGAGAGGGAUGCGGAAUUCCAGGUGUAGCGGUGAAAUGCGUAGAUAUCUGGAGGAACACCGGUGGCGAAGGCGGCAUCCUGGACCAACACUGACACUGAGGAGCGAAAGCCAGGGGAGCAAACGGG
rnacentral:rRNA from 1 species